AUCGAACCUUGGUCAAAUUGACCAAAGAGCGAGGUUGGUACGCUUUGGAAAGACCGAAGGCGUCAAAUAAUGCAAAAGUGCAUUACUGGGGAUCUUCGAGAGCUUUGGAAAUCAAAAUCUGCAAGACUGCAGGUUUUGUGCUCUCGGGGACCGGUCCCAGGUCGGGAAGACCGGCCCCCGAACGCGCAGGCAGCAAGAUGAGAGAAAAAUCGGCUAAGUCCCUGGUGGACAGCUCUCGGGAACCGGUCCCUGCGGGGAGAGACCGAUCCCCAAGAGACCGGUCCCAUCAGGGGAGACCGGUUGCCUCGU
rnacentral:lncRNA from 1 species